UUAGCUGAAGCCAAAAAGAGGCAUAUCACUGUUAAUGAUAAGAAUGAAAUAUAUUUCCAGCUAAG
rnacentral:tRNA from 2 species